UUUAAAUAAAAGAAGAAAGAGCACAGAACAAAUAUACAUCCAGAUAUAUGUGCUCCUAUGCUGGCCUUUGUCAUCUUUGCUCCACUUGAGGUGAAUAUAGAAAAAUACCUGCAGAAGGUUGAAGUUCUCCCCAAAAUAUAAUUUUGGAUCGAUUCUAGCAUACAGAUGAACAUAGAACGGAAUCCAAAAGUUCUGCUCUGUGUAGCAUGGCAACGAUUGAUUGAGCUUCAAAACAAUGUCAAGCAGUUAGAAUCAGAUACUCGCUUCAGGUGAAAAACCACAAAAACAGUUCUUAAAAACCCUCCUUUUCGCACCUAUAGAAUACCUGACCUUGAAGAGCUGUUUCCUCACACAUCUUCCAGGCCCUCUGGCUGGGGCCUGUGAAUUGGCAGACAGGAAGAUUAACUUGAAAACAGUCUCUCAGCACGUCCAUCGCAUACACAUGGAGCACCCUGAGAUGAGGAACUCAAAGGAGUGGUUAGAAUUUGAGGUCUCUGCACUCAACUGAGCAGGGAAAGGAUGGGAAAGGGUGUGUGUGGAAGAACAAACGGCUUUUUGGAAAGAUAAAUGGGUCCUUGGAGGCAUAUAUGGGAGAUAGAUAGUUUGGGACGAUGUGUGUCUGGGUGUGGUGCCGACUUCUUGUCUCCCAGAAGCUAUUAAAGUGGCUCCUGGGAGGGGAUUUGUGACAAUUGAGUUCUUUUGGGAGGCCCUGCAUUUAGGCAGAUAAGGGAUUUCAAGAAGUCAAAUGCCUUUAGCUCAAAAUAAUCCUGUCAAAGAGGCAUAUUUUGGGAUGGCAUAUCCCGAUCCCCUUCAGCGUGUAAGACCCUGUAAUACUCUUAGGACAUUCCUGACGAAUAGCGAACACUCUCUGAAUGCGUGUUGUGUCACCGUGAUGACUGCUGUGAUGGAAUUCUGUUUGGCCAUCCGGAAGUGAAGAUUUGGGUUGAAAAAAAAAAAAAAAAGAUUUGGGUUGAGCUUUGCUUGUAC